UUUUACUUUCAUUUAAAUAUCGUCGAUUAGAACGUUUAUAUAAAAUCACGAAAGCAAACAAAAUAUCAAACGUCUGAACUAUUACAAUAUAAAAUUCAAAACUUACAUUUAUUAAAAUCCAAUAUUCAAAAAUAAAAUAUAUACUUUAAAGAUAAUAAAAUUCCCAACAACUAAUCCCAUAUCUCUCAUCGCGCUACUCCUAUCCUGC
rnacentral:lncRNA from 1 species